CAGUAUCAUAGUUCAUUCGUAUUUUAUCUAUUAGUGUUCUUUUUCUUUAACUUAGAAAAGAAAAAAUCUAGUUGUAGAAAACAGAACAAGAAUGUUCAAGGGUCUAAAAGAUUUAUAGGCCUGCUGUGAAGGAAGAAGAAUAAGAUCUCUCUUUCAGCUUGUCCACUGCUUACCUUUUUAGCAGUGUCCACUAGCUCAGACUAGAAUGCUUUUCCCCCGCCUCGAUUGAUCAAUUUUGAAAUGUAUUAACCCAAAAUAAUAAGACUCAG
rnacentral:misc_RNA from 1 species